UGGGGAAUUUUGGACAAUGGGCGAAAGCCUGAUCCAGCAAUGCCGCGUGAGUGAAGAAGGCCUUCGGGUUGUAAAGCUCUUUUGUCAGGGAAGAAACGGUUGUUCCUAAUACGGAUGGCUAAUGACGGUACCUGAAGAAUAAGCACCGGCUAACUACGUGCCAGCAGCCGCGGUAAUACGUAGGGUGCAAGCGUUAAUCGGAAUUACUGGGCGUAAAGCGUGCGUAGGCGGUUUGUUAAGUCUGUCGUGAAAGCCCCGGGCUCAACCUGGGAAUGGCGAUGGAUACUGGCGAGCUAGAGUACGGUAGAGGAGAGUGGAAUUCCCGGUGUAGCAGUGAAAUGCGUAGAGAUCGGGAGGAACAUCAGUUGCGAAGGCGGCUCUCUGGACCAGUACUGACGCUGAGGCACGAAAGCGUGGGGAGCAAACAGG
rnacentral:rRNA from 1 species